GGAUGUGGAGUAGGAGGUUGAGGAGGCGGUGACCGUGGCGGCAAAGACUCAUACGGAUGCCUGUCCUAUCAAAUUUCGAUGUUACUUUCUGCGCCUACCAUGGUGACCACAGGUAACGGGGAAUCAGGGUUCGAUUCUGGAGAGGGAGCCUGAGAAACGGCUACCAUAUCAAAGGAAGGCAGCUAGUGCGCAAAUGACCCACUCCCAACUGGAGAGGGAGC